UAGGGGUGCAUCAAUUUUCU
rnacentral:siRNA from 1 species